UACGUAGGGUGCAAGCGUUGUCCGGAAUUAUUGGGCGUAAAGAGCUCGUAGGCGGUUUGUCGCGUCUGCUGUGAAAACUGGGGGCUCAACCCCAGCCUGCAGUGGGUACGGGCAGACUAGAGUGCGGUAGGGGAGAUUGGAAUUCCUGGUGUAGCGGUGGAAUGCGCAGAUAUCAGGAGGAACACCGGUGGCGAAGGCGGAUCUCUGGGCCAUUACUGACGCUGAGGAGCGAAAGCGUGGGGAGCGAACAGG
rnacentral:rRNA from 1 species